CACCGAUCGGCCCAGCCUCUCCUUCUCUGCCGGCUCCUUCCUCGUCGGCUGUGAUGCUGAGGUAGUCUUUCCCCGCCGGCUCCUUCCUCGCCGCCGACGCCUACUACUGCUGCUGCCCCACCACUGACGCCUACUGUUGCUGCUGCAUCGACCACCUGCAGCUGGUAUUUCUACCUCGACCAAACGAACUCGCCCAGCCUCUGCUGCUGCUAGGGUGCUGGUCCUGUCAAAUGCAGCAGAGUUUCUACGUCUAGACUAGUACUAAAAAUCAUCAGGAUGCAAACUUAACCGAUUGAACUCUCUGGAACUUGAUGUUUUCAGUUUCUAAUGGACUAGGACUGGAAUUGAGAAGAUGAAUGAUGGCAGGGCAGGAGAAGAUGAAUGAAUUGAGUGGGAGCUUAAUGGAAUUUUUAAAUGCAAACCAGCACUAAAACUGAGUUGGAUAUUGACACAGCACAACUGAGUUGAUCCAGACUCGAACCUGAGUUUUUAAAUGCAAAAUAUGGAUGAACAUUGGUGAUUACCACCACACUAAAUCCAAUUGUAUUUGUAAACCUAAAUAAAGUGUGGGACGACAUGGAUAUUGACACAGUACAUUACAUACUCAAA